CGUGGGUAACCUGCCCAAGAGAUCGGGAUAACACCUGGAAACAGAUGCUAAUACCGGAUAACAAUAGAUGAUGCCUAUCAACUGUUUAAAAGAUGGUUCUGCUAUCACUCUUGGAUGGACCUGCGGUGCAUUAGCUAGUUGGUAGGGUAACGGCCUACCAAGGCGAUGAUGCAUAACCGAGUUGAGAGACUGAUCGGCCACAUUGGGACUGAGACACGGCCCAAACUCCUACGGGAGGCAGCAGUC
rnacentral:rRNA from 1 species